AGAGUGUAGUGCAGCCAAGGAUGACUUGCCGGCAUUAGUGAAGUUGAUGAACAUCAUAACUCAUUUUCUUGCCGGCAAGUUGGCCUUGGCUAUAUUGUGUUCUCU
rfam:Cajanus cajan Scaffold130593_7, whole genome shotgun sequence.